GGAAGAGUAUCGGUCCCGGUGGGCCGCCCGGUCUUCAAAACCGGUGGAGGGGCGCUCGCGUUCCUUUGGGUUCGACUCCUGCCUCUUCCGCCA
rnacentral:tRNA from 1 species